AAGAACAAGAAGCACUGAAGUUAAAAGUUGGAAAGAUAGAGCCAUGCAUGAGAAAUCUGUUUAAAUUGUUGGUCAUGGAAGUCCAAGAAAUUCCACACGCAAUAUAGGCUAUUGGUGCCGCUCUUGAUUACCUCUCAGAAGUAAAGGGCAUGAAGACUGCACACUGGGGAUUUGCUCUCUGGAACCACUCACAGCGACUGUGAUAUGAAGUUCAUGGUAAAGGGUCCCAGUUUGACAUGAAUAUAACAGCGUGAUCCUGCUUGAACAGGCUUCAUACAUGGAGCGGGGCUGCCAUUGCUAAGGCAUAUAAACAAGAGAAAUGCAUCCAGAUCAGAUGUUUUGCCAAACAAUAUGGAAAAAUGCAUAUGUUCCCAAAUUGGAAACAACCCAAAUAUCGUUCAACAACAGAAUGGGAAUAGCUCAGUUAAAUGUUUUAUUAACCGUACAAUAGAAGAAUACCAACGAGCAAU
rnacentral:sRNA from 1 species